CACGUGGGCGCUAUCGAAGAGCUGCAUGUGAUACCAGCAAAUGGCGCGCACCAAGUCCACUGCAAAGUCAAUUUCGGGGCGUGUCGACGAUGCGCAGCAUAUUGCGAAUUAUCAUUGAAAUCAUUCUAGUCCCUUUCGGUGGCACACACGUAAGCAAUGCGAAAUCCAAAUGUGAUUUAAACAAAAAUGACAACUCUGGCAGCGCGUCGGCUAUUCCAAGGCAAUCGCUGUUAUCUGGCAACGCCAAAAGCGAAGAGGAAGAGCGCACGUGCGAGGGCGCGAGCAAAGUGCCGUACGAAAAGCUGCGUAAGUUAAACGAACGUAAAAUGGCAAAAGAAAGUGUUGGGCAACGCCAGUGCUGGGCAACGUCGUUGCGGCCAUGCGGAAAAACUGGCUGCGCCGCCGCGGGCUAAUCAAUUACACGAAGUUGAGCGGGAAAAGGCAAGAACGAAAGAAAGGGGGAACCUGAUCGGGCGCCUGUCAAACGGUUUGACAAACUUGCCGAGACACAUUCUUGAUGUGCGCUUCGUUCCGUGCCGUCCCGUUUAGGAAUUUGCAUUUCUAACCCUCGGAUUCGCCUGGCCAAUGGCCUUUGCGGUUGGGCUGCUGUUUAUAGCCGCCCAGUUGUGAGGUAAUUUUCUUGACAAUUAAAUAUGCAAAUGCCGCUAAAUGUUGCUGUGUGUUUGGCAUUUAGCCCGGCCCCUGGCCCCGCGCACUAUUUAUCCAGCUCGUCUCUGACCCGAACCGAGAAAUACAAAAACAACAGUUCAGCGCUGCAAAUUUGACCCGUUCUCGAUUGGAGGGAAGACGCCAACAAGAGGCCUUGGAAUAUAUCAAAAGAUAUAUCAUACUUUUGUU